CACCCAGGCGGGAGGUGGAGAAGGACAGGCCGAGCCUGUGUCCACAGCUACGGACACGACACGCUGUCAUCUCUGUGUGCCUCAAGUUGUCGACUGGACAAUAGAAUCUGUGCCGCGUGCAGGGACCAGCCAUUGUGUACUCGGUGACUCUGACUGUGUACUGACAACCCCCUGGGGACACACCGCAGGGCUGACAAGUUCCCAAACAUCACCGACGCGUGCUCUGAAGUUACUUCCCCCACGAGUUGACACAGAUCUUACUUUGCCGCGGGGACUGUACGCAAACGCGGAAACGGCCAUCCGAUGCCGUCACGGACGUUUCGGUUUCAACCCUUCCAGGCGGCCGGUAGCAGAAGGCGGCGUUUCGCUCGGCAGAGAGUCACCGAAUUUCACCACGCGACGUGAGCGCGGCGCCGGCGUGCUCCCGUCUCCCUCUUGACGCCUCCCGGCAGCCCUUUCGCUCGGAGCAAAACAAAAUGGCAGCGCUCGCGUCGACCUGCCGCUUUUCCGUCAGAGAAACGGACAGACAGCGGUUUUCCUCUUGAUCGUCAGCGUGCACGUGAAUGUCGCCGGGUGGCGGUACUCGCUGCUCUGGCGACGUCUUUGCCCGCGCGGUGGCCACGAUCAGCGAGGGGGAAGGUGUCGGACGGGGGGCGGGGUCAGCCGUCUGUGGGCACCGGGCGCAGGUCUCUGCGCGGCGCUCGCUUGGCGCGUCACCGCGCGCUGUCCGCCGGGAAGCGGGCACGAUUUCGCGAGACCCUCUCCGCUCACGUGCUUCCCGGAAGUGACGCGCGUCGGAAACCUCGUGCGGCGCUCGGGCCGGAGCUGGUCCCGCACAGUCACGUGACGGCAGGCGUUGGCCACAGUUUCAGGCUGUGGCCGUGUUAGGGACGCUCGCAGGACGUUGCAAGACCACGUCUUCCGAAAACGAGGAUCGCUGGGUCUGUGAAGAAAACUUUCGGGACACAAGCAUGUACCGAAGGCGCCAUGAAAAACGACCGAAUGGAUUCAGCGUAAAAAGUCAUCUAUUUGGAGGGACCCUGCCAUCGGUGUCAUUGUGGGAAGCCGAGUGAGGCGCGACAAUUGGGAGGCGUACGUGUAACGCUGGCGUCACAACAGUUUCAGCCGCUGUUUUCAGGUGCCUGCCCGGCUUCUGUUCUGUCCUGCUUCCUACGCUGUUCCACGACAGGAAGUCAGAAGAAAAUGGGCCUCAAGACCACGUUUGGCUUAUAUGCCGCGGAGAGGACGCCUCAAUCUGGACAUUUAUUCAUAUUUUCAGAUAAGAGCCAGGCCCUGUGCCUUUCUGUCUCCUCAGAGUCACAGUUGAUAUUAAAAACUACUUGACAGCAUAGGAAA